AACACUUCUUCUUACUCUCUUAACAUUGAUUCGAUACCCUGUAAAAACUCCAAAUGUAAUACACCUUCUUUCCACGUGUUGCAAACAACGAUUGCAUGAGGCACAGAUGUAAUAAUUUUUCACAAAAGAUUAAGAUUUCUCAGUCUCAAUCUCAACUCUGUAUGGCGAGGAGAAGAAAUCAGAUUUCAUCGAUCAAAGCAGAAGCAGAAGAAAUUAUAUUUUGAGAACAAUGGCAACUUCUACUAUGGCUGCUGGAUCGGGUAUAGUUUUAACCUGACCCACUACUUUGUCUUCUACACCCGGGAUUGACCCGAAAAUCUCUGUUACUUUUCUGCAUACUCUGUUUUUUUUUUCAGAUUGGAAUUAUUUUAGAGGAAUCAUCCUUGAAGAUUGUAGCCAUUCUUCGUUUUAUUGUAUUGAAAAUAGAUGUAUAAAUUGCCUUGUUUGAUCA